ACCGACAAAGUGACGAGCAAAAUGACGUGCUACUGAAACGUAUCGGUUACUGGCCACCCGAGAACGUCGCGGGCACAACCGACCCGUUUGACUAAGCUCCACGUCUUAGUGGGAGAGGGGCGGGCGGCGCACGCGUGGCACGGUAGACGCCCUCACACCCCGUCCGGAGCGGGUUAGGGGGGCGGGCGUGGUGAGGGAGGUACGGGGUGCGGGUUAGGGGAGCGAGCGUGGCGAUGGAGGGAGGAGCUAGAGAGAGGGACCGGUCGACGGUAACCACCCUUUGGGAUCGGGUAAUAGGGUUAGUUGUGUCGGCGUCGAGGAGAGGAAGAAAGAGGGAAGAGGGGGGAGGAGGGGAGUGGUGUCGGUGUUGGAUCCCCGAGGCGGAAGGCAAAGCUACUCUAGGUGGUGGAGCGCUCCAAGAGUAGACGGGGUCCAACGCUCCUUCGGCGCCCUCCUCCUCACUGGAGCCACGCUCUAUCCAUGCCUCCUCCUCGAGUUGGUCACGCAGAAGCCGGCCUCCUCCCUUCGUCGCCUACUCUCGGUCCUCCGCCUAGCCGAGCCGGUCCGAUACCUCCGCCGGCCCUGCCCGCGCCUCUCCCGUCUACACCGCCGCCGGUUCCGGUCCCUCCUGCUCCAACGUAGGUAGUCGCUCUUCGCCGGCUAGGUGGACGCACGACAGUGACGUCCCUAUCGCGGCGGCAGAGGGAGAGGGGACCACCGUGGAGGGAUAUACAACUCCAACCAGGACCUUACCAACCGAAACCCUGAAAACCACCGUCAUACAAGAAUACGGCUGAUGUUCGUAAACGUCCUGCUAAUACACCAAUAGACACCGUCACACGAGGAUAGGAGGGGCGGAGGUAUGAAGUAAAAACCUUUUGAUUAAUAAAAUUAAGGACCUACAGUAUCUACAACUCCAACCAGGACCUUACCAACCGUAACCCUGAAAACCACCGUCAUAUAAGAAUACGGCUGCUGUUCGUAAACGUCCUGCUAAUACAUGGUAACUAACACGGAGUCGAAGCAUCGGCUAGAAGCUAGCAGGUACCGUAGUUGUGUGUUUAACUAUUACGUUUGGAGUCCAGUUAUGGAGGGGAUAAACUAAAGACGCCGUCUCACGAUUAUUGAAAAUAACAAACACAAAAACCUAUUCUAAACGUACCAUAAAGAUAGUAACCAACUAACGAACCUAUGAAAGUGAUAUCAUCAACAAGACGGAGUAGAUAGUGAUAGACGCCCGAACGAAACUAAUACACAGAGGGUUGAAAGACAUUGAUUUUUCGUCGGACAUUUACAUCGAACUUAUUUUUACCAUGGAAAGACAAAACACGUUCAAGUUUCGUAAUCAUCAAAGUCAAAUAGGUUAAAAACGUCCCUAUAACACACUCCAGACCAUGUUUGAAAUUCUGUUAGUGAAUUAUGUAAGUACCCUAGUGUUUGAAAACCGUAAACAACUAUGAUCGAUCCACCCCGGUACUUAAGGAUCUUCUAACACCGUUAAUAGGACGAAGCGAACGUUAUAACCAAAGAUUUUUAUAGUACCAUCAACAUUAAAGUCUAACGACGACUAAACUGAUUUAUACAACACUAAUCAAAAUUCGAAACUGAGAAAUGACACACGUGUUGAUUAAGUAAGGAUUAAUUUAGAAAGUUACCAACUACCCUUGUGAUGUCUAGAACGAAGAGACGAAAAAUUACAAAGUAUACAAAAGUACAUGUUUGGCUCCGUACGCCUACGCCCGCACUACCGCCCGUAGAGGCCGUCACCGUCGCUGGACGUCCGUUCUCCGUUGCUGACCCCACAAGCUAAGCUAGGUCGCGGUACCGGGCCAGGGACGUCCUCUCUCUCUCUACUCCCUGUCUCUCUCUUCCUUGCUCUCCUCCCUCUUUCUCUCUCCCUCCACUUACGUGAACUGAGAAGUUCUAGCUCCCGUGGUAACCUUUCCGGCUCAUACAGGUAGCUGUCGGACGGGUCACAGGCCUAAGUGGUUUGUCAUGUUGGCCUCUGCGACAGCCGACGGACGUCCGUGGUUCGGCAGGCGACAACAGAGACGGGCUUCUUCCUAAUACCAAGAGGUGGAGAAACGAUGAGUAUAAUUUUAAGACGAUAAGGUCUCUUCAAAUCUCGAAGACGUUGGAAAACUUCUGUGCUAAAUAUCAACGCCUCUACUUUGUUAGUUAGUCAACGCUACGUAAUGUAUUAGAAAAACGAGACCUGUAACUACCCAUAACGUCUGAGGAAAUAAAACGGUGUUUCCUGUCCUCAACACGGUAAACUGAGCUUCUUGUUUCGCAGGUAGUGUUCCCCCACCAGAAAUCCUACAUGUGUUUUCUCCUUUAAAGUAAAACAUAUCUUGGUUUAAUAUACUACAUUAACUGGUAAGAGAACAUGUGUUACAAAUAGUACAUAAUUCAUGUAAAAUAACAGUUUAUACAAAUGAAAAAAAAUCACGUGUUCAAGUAUUGAGGAACCUGAAAGAUUAACGUCCGAGUUGAUAAACUUUGGUGACUAGACUAAAACAACCCAGACACAUAAUCACAUACACACAUAACUUCAAACCACUCAGAGUCCUUCUUGGUUUGAAAAUAAGGAUAGAGUAGUAUACGAUAGAAUUUACGUU
rnacentral:rRNA from 1 species